CCGACCAAAUGGCUGUCUAACUUUUCUGGACCUGUGAUUUAUAUCCGGUGUUGUACUACUCUCAUACACGAGCAUGACGCGUAUGGUUUAGCUCAUGCUCACGCAACGCAAGUCAGAUGGUUGUACAGAUCGAUUCGAAGGUAGGUAGGAGAGCCCGAGAGAAGAACAGACCGGUGGUUGGUCGAGUCUUUCGUUGUUGUUUCGUGUUCGGCUCCGUUGUAUGUCAUGACAGGCAAGGAGGUGGUACGAAAGUUCGCGCUAGGAAGGAACGUUCCCUACGGUUGCCAUGUGAUUGCCUAUUUAUGUACACGUGUAGUUGUGCAUACAUAGAUAGAUGAGCAGAUUGAUAUCGUUGACCGUAAUUGAUGAGGUCUAGUAUACGUAAAGUCGUUGUCGUUGAGUAGGAGAGACUUGUGUAGAUGAGCAGAAACUUGUAAGAACGAGUCCCGCCCUGUACCCCUCACAAACAACGGGGGUGUGAAACGAACUAGCCAAACGAUCGGCGAACCCGGGAGGAUUGGUUGAAAUGUGUGCGAAUAUAGUUUGUAGCCUGAGAACCCCUGAGAAGAGAGGAACAUUCGUUGUGCUCUGAAGAGAGGGACAUUCGUUGUGUGUACGGUAGAUGAUCGAGUGUCAUACGUAUAUAUUCAGAGACACGGCGUGCGCGAGAGAGAGCGAGCGCGCGUGCGCCUCUUCUCUUACCGUACGUUUACCGUUACACACCGCUGCGACCACGAACACACCAACCGGCGCCGCCGUUGCGUCGUCCCUACGUUGCGCGUCUACUCCCUCUCACCCGUACUAUUAGACUGCUCUCCCUCGAAGGGGUUCCCGAAGCAGAAGCCGUGGCGGCGGAGGAGGAUGGUCCAUCAUUGUUAAGAGUUAAUUAAAUUAAGACGUGCUAAUUUAGAUAAAAAACACUUUAAGAACGUAACUAAGAUUUAUUUCGAUAUAUGAAUGAAUUAACCGAUCACACAAGAAAAGUGUAUUAGCUACCUCGCAGGGAGAGAAGAGACACCAUACCCUAGACAAUAUAUAGCUAGCUAGAAGAGGCUAACAUUAUACCAAAUAGAAUAAAUGGUACGAUCAAGUAAGCAAGGAUCAUAAAACCACGUAUACUAGAAAAAAUAGAAAAAUAACACCUUAACACCCAGUACACGAUGACAAAGUACGUGGUAAGAGAGGAGGAGAACAUAUACGGGCACGAGUAUAAACAGAAAAAUCAUCUCAAAUGUCAGCUACGGAGGAAACUUUUUAUUUUGUCCUACUGAAGAGUUGUUUGUUUUAGAGGUAACAGGUACGUGCGGGAGUUCACAGUUCUUACCAUCAAUGUGAAUGUGGGGCAAACCUACAACUGUAGGCUCCGACCUAUUGAAGAUAUUUUCGAGUAUCCUCAAUCUAAACUUCUAACACGUUCUCGUUGUGUACUAACAAUCGUGAUGAAACGUUCAUUGGAGGGUCACAGUGAUGCAACAGUGUACGCGUGUUCCUGGUCACAACAUCCGUUACGUAUUUCUCCUCAAUCUUAAAACGCGUGCGAUUAAUUGCUGUACCUGAUCUUUGUUCUUAAUAUACGAGUUUCGUUCGUCCUUGAAGUUAUUGUAAACGUUAAAGAAAUACUCUCCGUAUCAUUUAAUGAGAACGCGUUCACUGGUUUACAAAACGUCCUUGGAUCAUCCUUAAUUUGUAACUAUUAUGAUAGGUUAUUAAUCGAUUUGGAUGGGUCAUACGGGGGCUCACGCUGAACUAACGUUUCACUGGGGAAACUCCAUUUUAGUAUCGAUUCAACAGAACCUACUUGUUUGACCUUCUUCGACUGAGUACUGAGUGACUAAGGGGUAGAAAUAGAAAAUCUCAUGUAUAAAGGAAAAUACGAAGUUGUUUCGUCAGAUGGUAUUUUGAACUUAUUAUCGAACUAGUUAGGCAGAACUUGGGUCAUACCUGAGUCGUUGUUAUGUACAUGUGAUGUACUGUGUGUUUGUACCGACACACGUAGCGUACUACUUCUCCGGCCUAAUGAGGGGGAUAAGCUUCUUCUUUUUCUUAUUGUGUGAUUUGUAACAUAAGACUUCUUUUUUUUCGGAUUUGUACCAGCUACACGUAGUGAGCUACCUCUCCGCCCCCAAGAGAGAGCCAAAACCCUUCUACUGAAAAAGAUUAGCUUUUCCACCCCUGGACACCACACGUAGUCCUAGAAGAGAUCAAAAGAAUGCGUUACAUAAUUAGGUUGAUACUCAUUUAAAACACAUUUAUAAGAAUCUCAUUAUUCGUAUAUAUAAAGGGUGUGUGUUUUUAUUCGUAUAUAUAAUACCAUAUACAAAAAAAAAGACUUUAGUACAAAAAAGACAACCAUCAUGCUCCCUCGGCAGUUACACCUACCUUCUCCUGGAUGUUAAACCCUGUUUAAGCGUGUGUGCAAACCAUUGUAUUUGUUAACAAAACAAAACACUAUCUUGUAAACAAAAAAGUCACCUUCUCUUUGACUGACAAUUGAUCCCUCACCAGUGAGUACUCCAGACUAUACUGACUUAUACAUAAAUGAGUGGUUACCUUGAUUGGAACCGGUGAUUUUAAUCAUCAGCAUAAUACUAAGUUCUAUUACUAUGUUAGAAGAAUGUUUAUGGAAAAAGAGGAUACAUCCCUUCUAGGAACUGAAGUCGUUACGGCUACAACGACAACUGGUGAUGGUGGCAAAACUCCAAGGAGGAAAAACCUUUAUAUCCGUGAUCUAAUUACGUAGUUCUACUAUGUAUUAUAAGGCAUCUUGCACAGCAGCUUAUACUUGUACUCGCAAAUUAAUACGUGUGCAACAUGUUAUAUGAGUACCGGGAACUUUGUUGAAUGAUAAAGUCCUCCUGUAAGUCGAAUACCGUCUAUACCCUAACCUACGGAUGUCUAAGAGUUAACGUACCAGAGCCUAAGAGGGUUCAUGCGUAAUAAUCAUGUUUAAAACACGCGGGGAAUUAUUAAACUGACUAUUUGUCCCAACAGUUUAACACCUCUUUAAUUAAUUGUAUGGUCGUGUGAUUAUCACUAUCGGAACACACAAAACAAACUACAGGUCUACCGUGGCCACUCCAGUUGGUUCGUCCGUAGCUGGUGAUGUCGUUCCAGUAACUACGUGAGGAUCGUUUUCCACUUGAAGACAUGUGAGACUUCUAGUUUCGUAAUAACUGGUCACAGCUUAAAAAUAGUUUUGUAAUAACUGGUGGUGGAAGUUACGUGGGUGCCACGUGGGUGCGUUCUUUUGUAUCGUUUUUUUAAGUUUUUUAAGACAUUGAAAUACUCUUACUAGUAGUUGUUUACAAUCUUUCCGAACGUUUUACACUACCCGUUUAUUGUAAGCUCUUCGAGAGAUGUUUUUUCUGUUCUAAUGUUUUAGACGAGUUUGUCACGUGAAUGUAAAACUGAUUAAAAGUCACCUAAACAGAAAAAACAUCUCUCGAGGAGCUUACAAUAAACUGGUGGUUUAAAACGUUCGGAAAGAUUGUAAAGAACUACUAGUAAAAGUGUUUCAAAGUCUAAAAAAAAAAACUUUACAAAACUAUACAAAAGAACGCACCUACGUAGCUCUCACCCACAUCUUCUUGGUGAGAGAGGUUUAAUGAGGGAGGCAAAGAUUUAUAAACAGAAAAAUCUCUAAGUUUACCUGAUGGUGUAUGCCUACAUAUAUAUGUAUAAAAUCUCACAUCUAAGUGAGUAAAACGUGGCAUACAUCAGUAAACAACUUUAGAGAUCUUUCUGUUUAUAAAUCCUUACCUCCCUCAUCAAUACUCGAGUGAUUGUUCCACUUCAUCUUAAUAACAAGGUCCCUAACUCGGCAUACAAUGGGAGAUGGUGACCCUGGAAGGGGACCGGGACCUUCUGUUCAUGUUACCCAACGAACUGUCCGUCUAUUACACACAUGGCAUCCGUGGAAAUAAACGUCGUUGAGGGGAACCCAGAUUGACGUUACCACCAGAUUGUUGGGUUUGUACGUUUGACGGUUACGUCGUUGCUGAUGCGCCGCAUGCGCCUCUGCACAAAGUUCCGCAAACCCCUGUCCCACUUCGCAACCUAGUGGAAGUUGCUCGGUGUGUGCCACCGCCACGUCCCAAUGCUGUCGCCCUAGGUGCGCGGCCCGGCGACGAGGCACGAGGCGGUGGAGACGACGUUUGUUCCCUCGAGGCCGUGGCUCGGGAUGUAACAGCGAGUGUUGUAGUAGGAGCGAGUGCGGUGCCAAAGCCUGUAGAUGUCCUUCUUCAUGUUCCAGUCAGCCUUCAGCCUUCAGCCUUCUUGUAGGAUAUAUAACCAAAUCAAGUCCAAAACGAGAAACUUUUAACUACACUAAAGGGGAACCCGGACUUCAACGUUGUAUCGAACUUGACUUGUUAUUUUCUAACUAAAAAACACAUAAUUAUAAUACGUCCGUCUCGUCUUACCUCUCCACCCCUACAGAAACCUACACUAUACCAUGCUCGGACAGAGUUUGAGGUGUCGACUACAACUCCGGCGGUUCUCUCGUGUCCUCAAGGUCGAUCCUACCAGUCACUCGGAGUGAGUGAUUUAGGUAAUUGAUAAAGGAUGAGGGAGGCAGGGUAUUACAUUCUGCAAAAAAAUGUGAUGUGAUCACAGUUUUGUGCAGAAUGUAAUACCCUGCCUCCCUCAUGAUUAAUUAGAUUAGUGCCUACCUAUACGGUCAUUGUCUCGAUCGGAUCGUCAAAGUAUCUUAACUAACGUCACUUUUACUUGUUUCGAUCGUAUCAUCAAGGUUUAAAUUCAGAGAUCCUCAACGACUCUAUUUUACUCCAUUACAGUUUUCCAAACGGCUAGGGAAGAAGAAGCCACUAAUGGGCCGCUGCUACUCUAGUUCCCAGCCUGUUUCCGACGGCUCCAAGUACUGCUUCCUCCGGCUAGACCACUUCCCCAGCGACCUGAAGCACCCCUAGUUAGUGAUGUGGUGUAAGAUGUGUUUUCUUCUGGUAAGGCGACAGUAGUUUAUGAACGACUUACUAUGGAACCGUCUGUCACCUAGGCAGUCGGAGGCAUUCAACUUAAGGACGGGGAGCACAUAGAAACUUGAUAAAAAUCAGAUUGAAGUAUGAGUACAGACGUAGAACACAAGUAACAGUCGGAAGUCUUUACCCUUCGGUUAACCUCUAUUCCAUUGGUAGUGCAGUCGUCGUACGCCUGACUGUUAAAACACAACGUUACGACGUAAACCUAAAGACUUUUAAUUGACGUCCGUAGUACUGACUUACUUAUAACGAGAACGAGCGGAGGAAUGGACGUCCGGUUAAGCUAUACCAACAUGUAACACGGACCGUCGUACUCCUCUGAGUACUUGAUACAGUUUCUAUCUAUGCUGUGGGGUUGACAGAUGUAGUGACUUUUACCGUUCAUGUGCGUGUUAUACUAAAAGAGGUAAACUAAUCGUGCGUUGAUGUUUCUCUACCUUGUUUUGAGCGAAGCCUCAAGUACUUGUAUUGUUCCUACACGUACAACAGUUAAUUCACAUUAAUUUAAGCGGAAGUCUGUACUGUAAUUUCAUUGAGAGAAAAAGUCCUUACCUACUGUCGUUGUCGGGGAAGUAGAGGGAGUUCUUCCGGGAGUUUCUGUGUUUUUCUUAGUUGAUGGUGUUACUGAUGGAGUGUUUAGAUCGACUAAGGUAUUCCACGAGUGUACUAAAAUGGAAGGGAACUAGUCAUUUUAGAAUAAAACGGUACACAUCUGGUCAAUUAGAAACUAUAACAUUAAAGAUGUCCCUCCUACCGACGCUACAAGCGCCCAUAAAACACACCAGAGAAGAGCUGUUGACCCUCACCUGGCGACCUAUGUGGAGUUCUAAGCCAAACAAGAAGCAUCUGAUGUUCCUAUUGGAGUUCUCUAUGGGGUUCUUGAGUCAGGUCACCAAGUUCUUAAAGAACCGUAGAAGGACUAGUUUUAAACUAUCGAUUACAUCUCCAGUACUAGUGUAUAUGUGAAGUUAUAAAAAGAUACUGAACAUCUGUCCCAUGAUAUCGUUAAACACUGAAGAGUACAUAUGUAGCUAACAUAUAUCGCCUUUAGCUGGAAAAUCUGCAUGGUAUAAGGGAUCUAAUUUACCUGGAGAGAGUUAGCGAGCAUGUAUUAAUAACUCGGCCUGUUCUUUUCUAUCCUCACGGGAAUACUUCCAGCGUAUAUUAAAGAGGGUCAGUUAAUCGGACAUAGGCUGGUGUACAUAAGUUUGUUCGUUUCGUCCGAGACAUAACGCUUUUUGUUCUUGUCUCCUAGGUGACAUGGAACACGACUGUGAAUGCUUGUGUACUUUUUAUCGUGGGUAACAUGAAUUCCUCUCGACGGGUACUGUAGUUUUCCAGUAUAAAAGCGUAAGGAGGGAUUGUUGACGCUUGUCUAGUCUCAAGUACAUAGAGAGCGGCCGCGACCCCUUGUACCAUUGCUAGUAGAACGGGACCAAGGGAAGAGCGCAGCGUUAGACGGUCUCUGGGUGCUUUAGUCUCGAGUGUAUGGGUCGUUUAUACGAUUAAGUACAUUG
rnacentral:rRNA from 1 species